UCAAUCUAUCUACAACUCAUGUACCAAUCUAACUAACCACGUUACAGAGUCUUGCGAGACUGUUUCUCCUGAUUUUGUGCUCGACCUAUACGCGGCGACAUCCCAGGAAGCCCAUGAUGCCGCCGUCGCCGCCAGUGCCAUCAAUAGUCCGCUGGUAGAGGCCCAUCUCCCGAAGCACAAGAUGCGUGGCAGCCAAUAAGUACCUUCCAUCGCAGAGGACAAGGCAGGACAUUCCACUGCUGCCAACGUCACGCGGUGCUGAUCUGGACAGCACUGCUAACCUUUAGUAUUGUCUUCGCAACUACGACACAUGUCAGAGUAAGGCUGGCAUGAUGCGAAUUUAACAUGUAUGUUGAGAGGGUCUCCAUCAAGGUUGGUGAGCAAAACCCGUCAUGGCAUCCAACAUCCAGGUUAGCAGACUGAUGUUCCUGCUUGGUUCGGUGUUCUACACAUCAGCGACAACAACUGCACGUCCAGCCUAUGCUGAUCUCAAAGGAGGAAAUUUUUAGCUUCGAAUACUGAGACCGCUCAAGAUGGUACAUGAUGCUCUCACUGCACAUGUUGCAUUCUCUUCUUUCCGGAGUUUUAUCUUAAAUUAUUUACUGUAGAAUUGGGUUUAUAUUUCUCACAUAAAAAUGCAGUGUUAUGUUUCUUUCCUUUUU